AACGAACGCUGGCGGCAGGCCUAACACAUGCAAGUCGAGCGAGGACUUCGGUUCUAGCGGCGGACGGGUGAGUAACGCGUGGGAAUGUGCCCUUCUCUACGGAAUAGCCCUGGGAAACUGGGAGUAAUACCGUAUACGCCCUAUUGGGGAAAGAUUUAUCGGAGAAGGAUCAGCCCGCGUUGGAUUAGGUAGUUGGUGGGGUAAUGGCCUACCAAGCCGACGAUCCAUAGCUGGUUUGAGAGGAUGAUCAGCCACACUGGGACUGAGACACGGCCCAGACUCCUACGGGAGGCAGCAGUGGGGAAUCUUAGACAAUGGGGGCAACCCUGAUCUAGCCAUGCCGCGUGAGUGAUGAAGGCCUUAGGGUUGUAAAGCUCUUUCAGCUGGGAAGAUAAUGACGGUACCAGCAGAAGAAGCCCCGGCUAACCCCGUGCCAGCCGCCGCGGUAA
rnacentral:rRNA from 1 species